CCUACGGGUGGCAGCAGUGAGGAAUAUUGCACAAUGGGGGAAACCCUGAUGCAGCGACGCCGCGUGAAGGAAGAAGUAUUUCGGUAUGUAAACUUCUUUCAGUAGGGAAGAAAGUGACGGUACCUGACUAAGAAGCCCCGGCUAAUUACGUGCCAGCAGCGGCGGCACUACGUAGGGGGCAAGCGUUAUCCGGAUGUACUGGGUGUAAAGGGAGCGUAGGCGGGUUUGCAAGUCAGAUGUGAAAGUCCGGGGCUCAACUCCGGGACUGCUUUUGAAACUGUAUGGCUAGAUUGCAGGUGAGGCAGGUGGAAUUCGUAGUGUAGCGGUGAAAUGCGUAGAUAUUAGGAGGAACACCAGUGGCGAAGGCGGCUUGCUGGACUGUAAAUGACGCUGAGGCUCGAAAGCGUGGGGAGCAAACAGGAUUAGAUACCCGAGUAGUC
rnacentral:rRNA from 1 species